UACGUAGGGGGCAAGCGUUGUCCGGAUUUAUUGGGCGUAAAGCGCGCGUAGGCGGCCUCAUAAGUCCGUUGUGAAAGUCAAAGGCUCAACCUUUGAAAGCCGAUGGAUACUGUGAGGCUAGAGUCCGGAAGAGGCGAGUGGAAUUCCUGGUGUAGCGGUGGAAUGCGCAGAUAUCAGGAGGAACACCAAUAGAGAAGGCAGCUCGCUGGGACGGUACUGACGCUAAGGCGCGAAAGCGUGGGGAGCGAACAGG
rnacentral:rRNA from 1 species